rnacentral:rRNA from 1 species
AACAAACGCUGGCGGCGUGCCUAAUACAUGCAAGUCGAACGGGGAAAGUCCUUCGGGACAAGUACUAGUGGCGCACGGGUGAGUAACACGUGGAUAAUCUGCCUUCUGAUGGGGAAUAACUAGCCGAAAGGUUAGCUAAUACCGCAUAAGACCACAGUGUCUUCGGACACCGGGGUUAAAGAUUUAUCGUCAGAAGAUGAGUCCGCGUCCGAUUAGCUAGUUGGUAGGGUAACGGCCUAACAAGGCGAUGAUCGGGAGCUGGUCUGAGAGGAUGAUCAGCCACACUGGAACUGAGACACGGUCCAGACUCCUACGGGAGGCAGCAGUAGGGAAUAUUGCACAAGGGAGGAAACUCUGAUGCAGCGACGCCGCGUGAGUGAUGAAGGCCUUCGGGUUGUAAAGCUCUGUUCUACGGGAAGAAAAAAAUGACGGUACCGUAGAAGAAAGGACCGGCUAACUUCGUGCCAGCCGCCGCAGUAAUAC